ACCCGCUGAACUUAAGCAUAUCAAUAAGCGGAGGAAAAGAAACCAACAGGGAUUGCCCUAGUAACGGCGAGUGAAGCGGCAACAGCUCAAAUUUGAAAUCUGGCGUCUUUGGCGUCCGAGUUGUAAUUUGCAGAGGGCGCUUUGGCAUUGGCAGCGGUCCAAGUUCCUUGGAACAGGACGUCACAGAGGGUGAGAAUCCCGUACGUGGUCGCUAGCCUUUACCGUGUAAAGCCCCUUCGACGAGUCGAGUUGUUUGGGAAUGCAGCUCUAAAUGGGAGGUAAAUUUCUUCUAAGGCUAAAUACUGGCCAGAGACCGAUAGCGCACAAGUAGAGUGAUCGAAAGAUGAAAAGCACUUUGGAAAGAGAGUCAAACAGCACGUGAAAUUGUUGAAAGGGAAGCGCUUGCAGCCAGACUUGCUUACAGUUGCUCAUCCGGGCUUUUGCCCGGUGCACUCUUCUGUAGGCAGGCCAGCAUCAGUUUGGGCGGUAGGAUAAAGGUCUCUGUCACGUACCUCUCUUCGGGGAGGCCUUAUAGGGGAGACGACAUACUACCAGCCUGGACUGAGGUCCGCGCAUCUGCUAGGAUGCUGGCGUAAUGGCUGU
rnacentral:rRNA from 1 species